rnacentral:rRNA from 1 species
GUCCAGACUCCUACGGGAGGCAGCAGUGGGGGAUAUUGCACAAUGGGGGAAACCCUGAUGCAGCGACGCCGCGUGAGUGAAGAAGUAUUUCGGUAUGUAAAGCUCUAUCAGCAGGGAAGAAAAUGACAGUACCUGACCAAGAAGCCCCGGCUAACUACGUGCCAGCAGCCGCGGUAAUACGUAGGGGGCGAGCGUUAUCCGGAAUUACUGGGUGUAAAGGGAGCGUAGACGGCGAGGUAAGCCUGAAGUGGAAGCCCGCGGCCCAACCGCGGAACUGCUUUGGAAACUGUAUAGCUUGAGUACUGGAGAGGCAGGCGGAAUUCCUAGUGUAGCGGUGAAAUGCGUAGAUAUUAGGAGGAACACCAGUGGCGAAGGCGGCCUGCUGGACAGAAACUGACGUUGAGGCUCGAAAGCGUGGGGAGCAAACAGGAUUAGAUACCCGGGUACC